CCUACGGGAGGCAGCAGUGAGGAAUAUUGGUCAAUGGGCGGGAGCCUGAACCAGCCAAGCCGCGUGAAGGAAGAAGGCGCCAGGCGUCGUAAACUUCUUUUGUCGGGGAACAAAGGGCGCCACGCGUGGCGUUGUGAGUGUACCCGAAGAAAAAGCAUCGGCUAACUCCGUGCCAGCAGCCGCGGUAAUACGGAGGAUGCGAGCGUUAUCCGGAUUUAUUGGGUUUAAAGGGUGCGUAGGCGGUCCGUGAAGUGAGCGGUAAAAGGCCGGGGCUCAACCCCGGCGGGGCGGUGGAAACUGUCGGACUAGAGAGGGCGGGAAGUACGCGGAAUGCGCGGUGUAGCGGUGAAAUGCAUAGAUAUCGCGCAGAACUCCGAUUGCGAAGGCAGCGUACGGGCGCCGGACUGACGCUGAGGCACGAAGGCGUGGGUAUCGAACAGGAUUAGAUACCCGGGUAGUC
rnacentral:rRNA from 1 species